GCUUGUGAUGACUCUGCACUGCAUUCAGGCUGGAUUGCCACUUUGGGACCGAAGAAAGAAUAGAAAGUUGGCUCCGUAAACCAUAUUGUUACCGCAUCUUUGGAUGAAGAAGAAUCGGCGGAAUCAGACAAGUUGCAUUGCGUGAAAGGAAGGAAAAUUUAAUAAAGGCUGCCAUCACACAUGAAAUGAUCAUUGGCUCAAAAUAUCUGGCUUAAGCGUCCUUAAAGGUGCGUAUAUCAACCCAUCCUUGCGAUCUUCACUCGGUGCUGCUCUUCACCAUCUGCACUGCCUAUUUUCUUGCUUUUUUCAAUAGUCGAAAUUUAGCAUGCACCAUUUCUAUUUAUUUUAGUAACUAUCCCAUUGUUA